GGCUGUAGCUGGUUUUAUGAGAUAUCACGGUGCUGUGUCAUGCACCUGUGUAGCUGAGAGCAGAAUGUUCGCUGCGGAGAUGGAAAAAAAAAAAACAGGCACUGGAAGGGAUAUAAGCACAGUCCCCUUUUGUUAGCAAUGAAAGUGGAGCACAUGGCCUGGAGUAACUUUCUGAAAGAUCAUUGAAAGAAACUCACGAGUUUCUACUUUAUACCCGUAUCCUUUAAUCUUUUAGCUAAAAUUUCAUGUACCCAACGAAGUAACCGGAUUUAUUUUGCUUCCCACCAGCCAAGAUGUUAACCGGACCCUUCAGCUUUCCCUCUGCUCUCUGCCUUUAACCUGGGCCAAUUAGGUUGGGAACUACACUGCAGCAUGGCCUCGAAACAACACGCUUGCUCAGAAUUGUCCUUCGAAUGCUGCUGUUCUCCCACGGGAAUCGGAAAUCCCAGGGCCUGCAUGCUUAACCCUUUCCACACCAUGGACACGCCUCAGGUUCUAAAGAGCAAAGCAUGUCACUCAGGCAGACCAUGACCUUGGCUCCUAAUCCGGAAGGCCAGUUUCAGGGAUGCCCACGUGGAGAAGAGAAAAUGACCAGAGAACAAGUGUGCUCACAGCCCUUGUGGGAAUAAUCGUGCCCACCUGGGGGGCUUUUCUGAAGACACUCAGAGCCGACUAAGAUAGGGGAGCGGUCUUGUUUUCUUUGGUGGCUCAUCUCUGCCUCUGUUUCUCCAUCAGAUCACAGUGAAAGCUGUAGCCCACAGUGUUGCUCACGAUUUCAGAGGAGAAUUGAAAAUGAGGAGGAAUGGAAUAUUCGCAAGUGUCUACUUGUCAACAAAGCGUGCCAGGUGUGUUCUCUCAUCUCCGGGGAUCAGCAGCUUCCUGUAAUCUCCCUUUAUGCCUUUCAUUCACUCUAAUCACAAGGAUUUUACAAGAGGCCCUCCUUGACCCCAGGCAUGAGCUCGGCCCUUUAUUUGUAAGUGAACUCAGCAGUGUUCACUUAACACUUUUAAGGAUCUGCGCCCAGGGAAGGGGAAGCGUGGUCAGACAGCAGGCUCUCUGAACUCACCUUUCUGGACAAAGAUCUCCCUAGGCAUUGUACACGCCUCCUUCUUUUCUUUCCCCUUGAGCUGUCCGGGUUUCACAGCAAGUUAUAAAGCGAAGAGCCUCACCUGCCUUUGAGACCACCUCCCCUUGGCCCAGCUCAGUAGCUGGUCCUCAGGUAAGUGCAUGUUAAGUUCCCAGACUGUUCCAGAGAGGGUGACCGACUGUCCUGGUUUGCCAGGACUCUCCUGCCUGGGAGACCUCCCAGUGUGGGGCAGACUGGGACCAUCAGUCACCCUAGCAGGGGACAGUAGGGAUCCCCUGGCUGUUUCUUUAGCAACCUGAGCGGCUCACUUGGGAGGCUGCAUGGCCGAGCAGGCGAAGCACUUACAGUGGAAGCGAGGCCUGUGAUGCUGUCAACUUGCUUCUUAACCCUAGGAUGCUGUGAGAAUUAAAUUACAUAGUAGCUGCAAAAUAAUUUGGCUUUCUUGGAGUUGGACACCACCUGAACCUGAGUGAAAUGAUUGUGCACUUCUUAAUGGCCUCCAUCUCUGGCCAAGCUGCCUUGGGACCAGAACAAUCAUCUAAGUCCCAGUUUCCAGCCUAAAACAGCAUGAGGACAAGGCCAGGAGGCCACAGCAAGGCUGUAAUCAGAACCCACAAGGAUUGCAUGGAGAUGCUGCAGUGCCGCCACCACCCAACGGCCGGAGCCCCCAGCAAAGAGUUUUCCACAAAAUGGGAGAAAAGUAUAAGAAGCUCUUCCUGCUAUGGUCUUUCAAGGAGCCCAGCUGCCUGACCCCUAUAAGGACCCCAGGACACUGUCCUCUGGAGUGGAGCUGUAUUUGAUGUGUGUUUAUCCAUCACUAGACUGUAAGUGACAGAUAAAUCUUACAACAGGGCUCAUGUCUGCUUUAUCUUCAUUUUAUCUCCAGAGCCCCAAUACAAUGCUUCGUACCUAGAAGGCUCUCAGAAACAGAAAUCUGGUGAAUUAGUUAAAUUAUAUGCUUCUCUGCCCUCUGCCCUCCAUAAGAAAAAAAGAAAAGACCUAUAAAAGGCAUUCUGAACACUGGAGUUUGGCUCCUGUUUACCAUGUACAUCUAGAGAAGUGUACAAUUCGUGCUUGUAUGAAAUAAUGAAUGUUCACAAAGAACGUGGAUGGAGCUGGAGGCCGUUAUCCUUAGCAAACUAAUGCAGGAACAGAAAACCAAAUACUGCUUGUUCUCAUUUGGAAACAAGGCAACUCAGAGGACUGAGAGACUCAGGACUUCCAGACAGAGGAUCAGGCGUACCUCAUGCAUGGGUGUUUUGGAAGAAGGCCAUUUUGAAACCUACUCUGUAUCAUUACAGACUUUCAGUGAAUUAAUUUAGAAUAAAUCCACCUCCUUCCCUGUAUGUGGUAGAAUUUCACUGGGAUACAACGUGAGGACAGAGAUUUGAACCCUCAGUCCCACUUAUGAUGCGGGGCUUCAGGGGCACCACGGACAUGCUCCGCAUUCACCCAUCUGUGGGGGAGGACUAAGGAAGCUGCGCUGGUGUGUGAGAAAGUAAUGGGCUCUUUUAAGCCCUUUUACUUAAAGCAAUAAAAGAAUAACUGCGUCAUCUGCUGGAGUAAAAGUUUUCAACAGAUGACCGGCUUGGUUCUUAAAACACACACACACACACACACACACACACGAGGAGUGAACCACACAGCAUGCAAAUGAGAGGAACAAACGCUUUUGUUUGUUGGAGAUUAAUUUUUAUGGAAAGUUGUACAUUGCAGAUUGCAAUCAACCUGACACAUUCUCUCCCUCCUGCUCCUUCUCUCAGUUGGCUUUGAGGAGAGGCACUUCCAAGUUUGAGAAUUCAUCUUGUCUGAUUAAUGAUGUGUACACAGAGAUUUCAGUCUCAUCUUCCUUCUCUGGGUCCUUUUUAUUCAGUUGUUUGCUGUGCUACAACCCUGCGGAUAGAUGGUUCUGCCGUGAUAAAUGUAAAGUUUGCAUAAGCCAUGUAACAGCAGGACAGCCUAUUAUCACCGUACAUUUUCCAUGGCUGUGCAAACCUCUGUAGGCUAUUUUAUUGCUAAUAGAUCCACAGAGAAACAGUAGUGAUUUUACGACUCUUUUUAAAAUGGAAAUUCAUGUUUGAGAAAUACAACUGGGAGGAAACAGAUGUAAACCACUUAAGCAUUUGCAGAAAAUUGAGAUGCACACUCUUAUUUACAGACCUACAUAGCCUCCAUCGCUUUAUUUUCAAAAUUAAAAUAAGCAAUCUGUUUACCAUGGGAAAUGAUGAACUGUAAACUUGUUGUUUUUCCUUUUACAUGGCAAUGGCCGCCAUCGUUGGGUUUAAUGGCAGAACUGAAGCAGGCAGCGUGGCAAUUUUUUCCCCUUAGGUUUUAUUGUCUGUAAUGCAUUCCCUCUGUAAUCUGCGCGAGAGGUAGGUAAGUGGGAAAGAUUUUCGUGUAACUGUAUGUCUGAAUUCACAUUAUGCUUGAACAGCUAAAAUGAUUACCAGACACAUUAGAAAGAUUUUAACCAGGUAUUUAACACUAUCUGUAAAUUGCUUAAAAUACUGGAAGAGUCAACCUCCACAAAAACGCUUUCACAUGGCCAAACACAAAAGCACAACCCAUCCAAAAACAUUUAUUCUGGCCUCGUCCCAACUUUCUCACAUCUUUUGGAGUUGUGACAAAUGUCACAUGUUGGAAAGGAGAUACAAAUGGAAGCAUCACAAAACAAUAUAGCAAUGAGAAGUCUGUCCACCAGACUCAUCAGAGCAAGCUCCUUGUGGCAUGUGGAAGCUCCUCUGGUUUUUAAUUUCAGCAUUGAUCUUUUUUUUUUUUUUUUUUUUUAGGUCUAGAACUACAUUUUUUGUUGCGGCAAAAUAUAUGCAACACAAAAUUGACCGUUUUAACCAUUUCUAAGUAUACAAUUCAGUGGCAUGAAAUGCAUUCACAUUGUCGUGCAACCAGCACCACCAUCCAGCUCCAGAACUUCAUCACAGACUGAAACUCUGUACCCAUGAAAGCAAAGACUCGCCAUUUCCCCCUCUUCUCCCAGCCCCUAGUAAUUUCUAUUCUACCUUCUGGCUGUAUGAAUUUGCCUAUCCUAGGCACCUCAUAUAAGUGGAAUUAUACAGUACUUGUCCCUUUGUAACUAGCUUAUUUCACUUAGCAUAAUGUCCUCAGGGUUCACCCAUGUUGUAGCAUGUAUCAGAAUGUCUUUCCUUUCUAAGGCUGAAUAAUAUUCCAUGGUGUGUAUAUACCACAUUUUGUUUAUCUGCCCUGUGUGGCUAGUCCUGGGAUUUUAAUAUUGAGGAGGUAUCCCCAUCAACCCGGGGAUGGAAGUGGCCUGCUUAUUCGUGAGCACUGCAAAGCAGGACGGCUAAGGAGAAUGAGAGGCGUCCAGACUAGGUCUGCAGAAUCAGGCAGGGAGGGCUCCUGGAAACUAUAGGUUUCUGGUCUCUGUAUAACAAUCACCAGCUGUGGGAAUAUUUUGCUUUCAUCCUUAAGCUUUGUUUUAAAUGUCAAAGGAGACUAAGCUAGACCCUCUUAGGAACUGAAAUUUUUCUCGGAGACAAGAUAUGAUGGACUUCGGCCCAAAGUCAGAUAACAGAAUGUGUUUCCAACCCCAUGCCUCCCCAAGCCACUCACUGCCACUGGGGAAGGCACUCGGGAGACUCCCUGAUCAUGGCCCUUGGAUUGCAUCAAAUGAGGCACAGCCACAGUGAGCAGGCUCUGAGCUCACUCACUCUUGGUGGAAACCAUACUAUAUGGAGA
rnacentral:lncRNA from 1 species